GGUUAUGGUUCAGUGGUAGAGCGCUUGCCUAGCAUGUGCAAGGCCCUGGGUUCGAUCCUCAGCACCA
rnacentral:tRNA from 1 species